GCUCAGGACGAACGCUGGCGGCGUGCUUAACACAUGCAAGUCGAACGGAAAGGCCCUUCGGGGUACUCGAGUGGCGAACGGGUGAGUAACACGUGGGUGAUCUGCCCUGCACUUCGGGAUAAGCCUGGGAAACUGGGUCUAAUACCGGAUAUGACCAUGRGAUGCAUGUCUUGUGGUGGAAAGCUUUUGCGGUGUGGGAUGGGCCCGCGGCCUAUCARCUUGUUGGUGGGGUUAAGGCCUACCAAGGCGACGACGGGUAGCCGGCCUGAGAGGGUGACCGGCCACACUGGGACUGAGAUACGGCCCAGACUCCUACGGGAGGCAGCAGUGGGGAAUAUUGCACAAUGGGCGCAAGCCUGAUGCAGCGACGCCGCGUGAGGGACGACGGCCUUCGGGUUGUAAACCUCUUUCAGCACAGACGAAGCGCAAGUGACGGUAUGUGCAGAAGAAGGACCGGCCAACUACGUGCCAGCAGCCGCGGUAAUACGUAGGGUCCGAGCGUUGUCCGGAAUUACUGGGCGUAAAGAGCUCGUAGGUGGUUUGUCGCGUUGUUCGUGAAAACUCACAGCUCAACUGUGGGCGUGCGGGCGAUACGGGCAGACUAGAGUACUGCAGGGGAGACUGGAAUUCCUGGUGUAGCGGUGGAAUGCGCAGAUAUCAGGAGGAACACCGGUGGCGAAGGCGGGUCUCUGGGCAGUAACUGACGCUGAGGAGCGAAAGCGUGGGGAGCGAACAGGAUUA
rnacentral:rRNA from 1 species